rnacentral:rRNA from 1 species
UUGAACGCUGGCGGCAGGCCUAACACAUGCAAGUCGAACGGUAACAGGAAGCAGCUUGCUGCUUUGCUGACGAGUGGCGGACGGGUGAGUAAUGUCUGGGAAACUGCCUGAUGGAGGGGGAUAACUACUGGAAACGGUAGCUAAUACCGCAUAACGUCGCAAGACCAAAGAGGGGGACCUUAGGGCCUCUUGCCAUCGGAUGUGCCCAGAUGGGAUUAGCUAGUAGGUGGGGUAACGGCUCACCUAGGCGACGAUCCCUAGCUGGUCUGAGAGGAUGACCAGCCACACUGGAACUGAGACACGGUCCAGACUCCUACGGGAGGCAGCAGUGGGGAAUAUUGCACAAUGGGCGCAAGCCUGAUGCAGCCAUGCCGCGUGUAUGAAGAAGGCCUUCGGGUUGUAAAGUACUUUCAGCGGGGAGGAAGGGAGUAAAGUUAAUACCUUUGCUCAUUGACGUUACCCGCAGAAGAAGCACCGGCUAACUCCGUGCCAGCAGCCGCGGUAAUACGGAGGGUGCAAGCGUUAAUCGGAAUUACUGGGCGUAAAGCGCACGCAGGCGGUUUGUUAAGUCAGAUGUGAAAUCCCCGGGCUCAACCUGGGAACUGCAUCUGAUACUGGCAAGCUUGAGUCUCGUAGAGGGGGGUAGAAUUCCAGGUGUAGCGGUGAAAUGCGUAGAGAUCUGGAGGAAUACCGGUGGCGAAGGCGGCCCCCUGGACGAAGACUGACGCUCAGGUGCGAAAGCGUGGGGAGCAAACAGGAUUAGAUACCCUGGUAGUCCACGCCGUAAACGAUGUCGACUUGGAGGUUGUGCCCUUGAGGCGUGGCUUCCGGAGCUAACGCGUUAAGUCGACCGCCUGGGGAGUACGGCCGCAAGGUUAAAACUCAAAUGAAUUGACGGGGGCCCGCACAAGCGGUGGAGCAUGUGGUUUAAUUCGAUGCAACGCGAAGAACCUUACCUGGUCUUGACAUCCACGGAAGUUUUCAGAGAUGAGAAUGUGCCUUCGGGAACCGUGAGACAGGUGCUGCAUGGCUGUCGUCAGCUCGUGUUGUGAAAUGUUGGGUUAAGUCCCGCAACGAGCGCAACCCUUAUUGUUAGUUGCCAUCAUUUAGUUGGGCACUCUAGCAAGACUGCCGGUGACAAACCGGAGGAAGGUGGGGAUGACGUCAAAUCAUCAUGCCCCUUAUGAUUUGGGCUACACACGUGCUACAAUGGCGCAUACAAAGAGAAGCGACCUCGCGAGAGCAAGCGGACCUCAUAAAGUGCGUCGUAGUCCGGAUUGGAGUCUGCAACUCGACUCCAUGAAGUCGGAAUCGCUAGUAAUCGUGGAUCAGAAUGCCACGGUGAAUACGUUCCCGGGCCUUGUACACACCGCCCGUCACACCAUGGGAGUGGGUUGCAAAAGAAGUAGGUAGCUUAACCUUCGGGAGGGCGCUUACCACUUUGUGAUUCAUGACUGGGGUG